rnacentral:rRNA from 1 species
UUUGACCCUUUGACCUCAAAUCAAGUAGGACUACCCGCUGAACUUA